UGUAAACAGGAAGGGAGUCAAUUCUUUACAAGGAUCAAUAAUGGCAGGACAAGGGUAAAUAGUCUGAAGUUGAAGGAAGGAAGAUUUAGUUUGGAUUUCAGAGGGAAGUACUUUACCAUGAGAGUGGUGAAGUGCACAGAGAGGCUGUGGAUGCCCCAUCUCUGAAGGUGUUCAAGGCCAGGUUGGAUGGCGCUAUGGGCAGCCUGGUCUAGUAUUAGAUAUGGAGGUUGGUGGCCCUGCCUGCAGUGGGGGAGUUGGAGCUCGGUGAUCCUUGAGGUCCCUUUCAUCCCAAAACAUUCUGUGGUGUUCAAGGUGUUCAAAUCCAUAUCUUUUCAAUUUGCAGAGAAGGAUGUUAUAAGGUACCGUGUCAAAGGCUUCGCUGAAGUCCAGAUAGAUGACAUCAGUGGCUCUUCCCUUGUCCACUGAUGCAGUAAUACCAUCCUAGAAGGCCACUAGGUUGGUCGAGCAGGAUUUAUCCUUGAUGUAGCCAUGCUGGUUCUCCAGUAUCACCUCCCUGCCUUCCAUGUACUUCAGCAUAGCUUCUAGGAAGAUCUGCUCCAUGAUCUUCCCCAGCACGGAGGUGAGACUGACAGGUCGGUAGUUCGUGGGGUUGUUGUUCUUAUCCUUUUUAAAAAUGUGUGUGAUGUUGCCUUUUUUCCAGCCACCAGGGACUUCACCUGACCGCCAUGACCUUUCAGAUCUCAUGAAGAGAUUGGCAACUACAUCAGCCAAUUCCCUUAGGACUCUGGGAUGCUUCUCACUGGGACCCAUAGACUUGUGGAUGUUCAAGUUCCUCAGGUGGCCGCAAACCUGAACUUUGCUUACAGUGGGAGUAACGCUGCUUCUCUGAUCCACUUCUACCAAACCAAAUACUUGAGGACUGUGUGGUGUGCAGUUACCACUGAGACUGAGGCAAGAAGUAUAAUUUUUCUGUAUACUAAAAAAAAAAUAAAAGCUGCAGUGUUUAUGAGGGAAGGGGAUACAUUAGACUACAGGAUCUUUUAAAGCCAUGAUAUUAUGGGAAAAACAACUUCAUCACAUGAAAAUGUAUCCUAGUAAGACCUUACACCCCAUAAAUACUGUGCAGUGCUAAAGAAGGUGGAUAUCUUGUACAGGCUUUUAUAAUCUUCUAUAGUUUCUGUGGUUCAUAUAAAUUUUAUUUAUUCUCGAGGCAUACAAAGAAAGGAGUUUAAUUCAGUAUGGGAGAAAAGCAAAAACAGGACUUACCCAAAACUCAUAUCUGAACUCUGCAGCUCAUCCUUACAGUUUAGCGAGUACUGUAAGAGCUGUCAACAAUCUACCCAGUGGUUUUGCAUUUCUAUCAUAAGUACUAUUUAAGAUAAGCGUUUGAAUAGCAUAUUAGCAACACUUUUCUUGACAGAUAAUGUUGAGGUUCCUAUUGCACUCAAUAGUGGCACUCAAGCUUUACAGUUUUCAGAGGUUCUAUAGGAUUCCAUAUAAAUCCAUACAAGCUACUUUUUUUUUCCUAUUUCUCAACAGAACGUGUACUUAAUCAACAGCAAUCCAGUCUUCUGUAUCAACCAUCUUCACUUCCUGUGGGAAUGGUGUUUUUCUAUCUCAUCUUUCAGCAUCCAGCCCACAUGAAUACAUGGCCCUGUAUAUAACCGAGCAAGCCGAAGAAAGCAUUUGAUACAUGUUUCCAUCAAAGCUGUCUGCUUUAUGUGUGCUGCCUCAAGCCUGCAGUACCAGCACUGGACACCACACCUUUUGGAAGUACAAAUACAGUGCAGGCAGCUGUUGUAGAAGCUUCCCUGUGCAGCUCUGGAAAUGACUUUUUCUUCAACUAAGGACGUUCUCAAUCUGGAAGGGAAAAAAAUAGAAUAAAUGGGCAUCUUUACACUGAAAGGUACUUCUGAGUGUGAUUUCAGUCUACCAUCUUAGUGAGCAGUUCAAUUCACCGUAACAGGAGUGGUUUUGUGAGGACAAGAGUUACCUACAGCUUGGAGAAAAGUAUGAAAAUAAAUUCUCCAGACAUCCAGGAAUUAUUUCCUCACUGGGCAACUGGUCUAUCUAUUUUCCUAGCCAUAUUAUACUUCUCCUCUAGCUCUCCUUCAGAUGGUGUAUGCAUGUGAAUGAACUACAUGUGAAGACGAACAGGACCCAGGCGUGCUCACCUGCUGAACAAACCUCUAGUCUUCAGAAGGAACUAGUGCCAUCUGCUGAAGAAGGAAUGCCCUCUACUGCUCGGUUACAGAGCUGCGCCGUAGCAAAAGCUGCUCGAAAACCAAGUGUGACAUGGGCUGAAACGAAGCUUUGAGAAGCAGAUGAUUUACUGGACAUAAUAAUUACAGUAUCAACAACAACAACGUUUGCUUAUACUGUCUGCCUCAGAACUCUUAGGAGAUAUUAAACCAUACGUAUAAAACUGAAUCCUCUUUUAAAGCUGCGUUUCUAUCUGCAUCAUUGUUUGUUUAUUGCGAUAUAUCUUCGUAACACGGCCCCAAACUUCUCAUUUCAAACAAAUGCAUAAAAUCAAGGUUAAUAUUUUCUUUGUAAUGCUUGGAUGCUUAGCACCUUGAUUUUUAAAAAGGCCAGUGUUACUGCUUUCAGAGAUUGUUCUGGCAUUCAUUUUGCUUUAUCUGUUCAACAGUUCUCAAAUUUAAUAUAUUUUCUCUUACAGCAACACGUGUGUAAAAUGUGUAUGCAGUGGUUUAACCCUC